ensembl:lncRNA
UGAGCCGAUAACUCAGUGAGCGUCGGACGGUGCGCCUGGCAGCCUUUAUGUGUGGUUCGCCCGGUGGGAAGGUGAACUACGAUCAGUCGGGAGCAUGUGAGGUCGAUAUCAGAUACAUGUCCUUCUGUCCGACUUCUUAAAAUGUGCUCCAGGUACCCGUGUCCUUGACUGAACUGUCCGCAGGACGUGCAAAGAAGCUCCCGGUUCUUGACAGGGUCUGGAAGACAACAGCAGUGUCCUGGUUGACCUGUGGCUGAGAUAAAAAGACGAGCCUUCACGACCUUUUUUCCCUACUCUGUAGAGUCUACUCAGCAGUACGUGCUGCCGUGUGAUGACAGCUCCAAGCAGUCGCAGUUCUUCUGGAGACACAAUCUGGCGAUGCGGCCGUCGAUGAGGCGCUGCGCCGCGUCUUUGUCAGAGCUCCCCUGAUGGUGUGUGUGUACCUGUCGCUGGAUAUAGCCUACAGAUGACCACAUUCAUCCAUCAGUCACAACUCCGCAGCACGCUGGGAAUCCCGAGGGAACGGAGAAGUCAGGAGUGCCAGGGCUGCAUCCUCAGGAGCCCCACUUCAGGCUGCCAGCACGUUGUCAUAGUAACAACAAACACAGACCAGUUGCCACAGAGCUGGCAUGUCCCCUCUGAUAGCCAGGACGUCUGGGAUACCUGAUACCUUAACAGCCAAUCAAAUGUUGACGGACAGAUAUCCGAUCCGCUGCGAGCCAAUGAGAUGCCUCCCGUGUGCCAUUCUGACGGCAGCCACAGCUGCAGUCAAAGCCGAGUGACCAAUAGGAAUAACGUGACCCUUACAGGGGCGAUGGUGGUGGACAUACCAAGCUGUUGUUGUAAGAGUGUGAUUUAACCACAGCCUGGGAUCAGCAGAAUCAAAAAAACACUUUAUCAGCCAAGCACAAUAUCAUACUGAGAUUUGACUUGGGAAGCAAUCAGAACAAAUCUUUUCGAACAAUAUGAUACACAUGGUGCAAGCACAGAAAGUUGUCGAGGAUGUGUAACAGAAAAUGGACUGUCCUCAUUACAUUACACAAACACACAAAGCUUUACAUGUGUAACAAAGAAGCGUAUUGAGCAUAGCUUUCAUGUUCCACCCCGUGGAAGGUAAUUUCCACUCAGACAGCCGUCUAUGAAAUAGUGGCUUUUUCAAGGAAUGAGGUCAUCGUGUUAAUGUGUAUAGGUGGCUGUGAUUAGUGUUUCUAUAAAUAGCCUGAAUGUACUUUGAUACCACAGAAGCUCGUACACAUAGACGCUCUUCAGACACUGCAAUGUGGAGUCAGGCACUAAAGGUUGGUUUCAUUGCUUUUAAUUGUCAGUAAUUGGUUAAUGGGUUAGUCUGUAAUAUGUCAAACAAUGGUGCAAAAUGCAAAGCAACAUUUCCAGUAACCCAAACUGUCAGGCAGCUUGAUUUGUCUGCACUAUUCUAAACCAGAGAUAGCUCUGUAAGGUUGCACUUAUGGCUCCAACGCUGGCAUGCUAACGUGCUCACAAUCACAAAGCCAAUAUUGUGAUGUUAAGCAGUUGUAGCAUGUAGGCAUUGGCUAAUGCCAAUGUCAUUAGUUUGAUAUUGGGUGGCAUGAUGGUGCAGUGGUUAGCACAGCUCCUCACAGCUAGAGGGACUGGAGUUUGAAGCCAGCGGUCGUCCAGAUGCCUUCCAGUGUCGAGGUUCCAAAAACCUGCAGUUAGAGUUCACUGGUGAAUCUAAAUUACCCAUAGGUGUGAGUGUGAGUAGUUGUCUGUAUCUAUACAUCAGCUCUGUGGAGACCUGUCUAGAGUGUACCCUGCCUGUUGCCCACUGACAGCUGGAAUAGGCUCCAGUGUCCAGCACCCCCACAGACCUUAACAGGAAAAGCAGCCAGGAUAAUGAAAAGAUGGAUAGUGUAAUAUAACAAAUUGAAAUUCUGACCUGAUAAUAGAGGGAAAAAAAUAUCAGGACAUAACCAAAGUUACUG